rnacentral:rRNA from 1 species
AGUGAACGCUGGCGGUAGGCCUAACACAUGCAAGUCGAACGGCAGCACAGUAAGAGCUUGCUCUUACGGGUGGCGAGUGGCGGACGGGUGAGGAAUACAUCGGAAUCUACUUUUUCGUGGGGGAUAACGUAGGGAAACUUACGCUAAUACCGCAUACGACCUACGGGUGAAAGCAGGGGAUCUUCGGACCUUGCGCGAUUGAAGGAGCCGAUGUCGGAUUAGCUAGUUGGCGGGGUAAAGGCCCACCAAGGCGACGAUCCGUAGCUGGUCUGAAAGGAUGAUCAGCCACACUGGAACUGAGACACGGUCCAGACUCCUACGGGAGGCAGCAGUGGGGAAUAUUGGACAAUGGGCGCAAGCCUGAUCCAGCCAUACCGCGUGGGUGAAGAAGGCCUUCGGGUUGUAAAGCCCUUUUGUUGGGAAAGAAAAGCAGCAGGUUAAUACCCCGCUGUUCUGACGGUACCCAAAGAAUAAGCACCGGCUAACUUCGUG